rnacentral:rRNA from 1 species
GAGGCCCUACGGGAGGCAGCAGUAGGGAAUCUUCCACAAUGGGCGAAAGCCUGAUGGAGCAACGCCGCGUGGGUGAAGAAGGUCUUCGGAUCGUAAAACCCUGUUGUUAGAGAAGAAAGUGCGUGAGAGUAACUGUUCACGUUUCGACGGUAUCUAACCAGAAAGCCACGGCUAACUACGUGCCAGCAGCCGCGGUAAUACGUAGGUGGCAAGCGUUAUCCGGAUUUAUUGGGCGUAAAGGGAACGCAGGCGGGCUUUUAAGUCUGAUGUGAAAGCCUUGGGCUUAACCGGAGAAGGGCAUUGGA